rnacentral:rRNA from 1 species
UACGUAGGGUGCAAGCGUUAAUCGGAAUUACUGGGCGUAAAGCGUGCGCAGGCGGUUAUAUAAGUCAGAUGUGAAAUCCCUGGGCUCAACCUAGGAACUGCAUUUGAGACUGUAUGGCUAGAGUGUGUCAGAGGGGGGUAGAAUUCCACGUGUAGCAGUGAAAUGCGUAGAGAUGUGGAGGAAUACCGAUGGCGAAGGCAGCCCCCUGGGAUAACACUGACGCUCAUGCACGAAAGCGUGGGGAGCAAACAGGAUUAGAUACCCUGGUAGUCCACGCCCUAAACGAUGUCUACUAGUUGUUGGUGGAGUAAAAUCCAUGAGUAACGCAGCUAACGCGUGAAGUAGACCGCCUGGGGAGUACGGUCGCAAGAUUA